rnacentral:rRNA from 1 species
AUGAACGCUGGCGGCGUGCCUAAUACAUGCAAGUCGAGCGAACAGACGAGGAGCUUGCUCCUCUGACGUUAGCGGCGGACGGGUGAGUAACACGUGGAUAACCUACCUAUAAGACUGGGAUAACUUCGGGAAACCGGAGCUAAUACCGGAUAAUAUAUUGAACCGCAUGGUUCAAUAGGGAAAGACGGUUUUGCUGUCACUUAUAGAUGGAUCCGCGCCGCAUUAGCUAGUUGGUAAGUUAACGGCUUACCAAGGCAACGAUGCGUAGCCGACCUGAGAGGGUGAUCGGCCACCCUGGAACUGAGACACGGUCCAGACUCCUACGGGAGGCAGCAGUAGGGAAUCUUCCGCAAUGGGCGAAAGCCUGACGGAGCAACGCCGCGUGAGUGAUGACGGUCUUCGGAUCGUAAAACUCUGUUAUUAGGGAAGAACAAAUGUGUAAGUAACUAUGCACGUCUUGACGGUACCUAAUCAGAAAGCCACGGCUAACUACGUG